rnacentral:lncRNA from 1 species
UGUUGAGGGGUUUCUGGGGGUCUGGCUAGGAGGAAGAGGGAAUGUUGGUGUUCUAAGGGGCAAGGGAGGGAGCUGGUAUAGGACGUUGGAAUGUUAGACAUUUGAUACUCGUGGUGUUUAUAUUAGAGAAUUCAGUGUUAAAAGUUAGGGACGUGGGAAUUUCAGGUGCUGCCCAUACGCAGAUCUAAUCUGGUCUUGCCUUUGCUAAAACAUAAAAUAAAUACAAGUGCUGCUUGCCACUGUGCGGUUUGAAUAAAGUAUAUACUGUUCAGCACGCUCCGUGCCCAACUAAUGGGGACGCCACAAAAGCAGUGACAAGCAAUAUUUUAUUAUUAUUUCUUCUUUUUUAAAAUGGAAUCUCAUCCCUACCUAAAACUCCUGCCCUCAUUCACCUCAUUGUGAUCCCAACUCUGUUCCAAUACAGCUUCCCAGCUACACGCACGCAAAAACAGGUGGGCUGCUAGUGGGCGGGGGUUUGCCAGUUUGAGGAUCCCCAGACUCUGACCUACCUAGGGUAUAGGUAGGUUUCCUACAAAGGACAAACCAGUACCAUAAAUGCAUGAUGUAGGCAGUGUGCUGGGAAUGGUUGCCACCAGAGCCUUCUUCAAGGCCCAGCUGAGUAAUUGCUGGAUCAUUCCAAGAUGCUGGAAAUGGGGGUGUUGAAAUAAAUAGCUUGGUUUUUAAAUAUUGAAAACAAAAAUUUUGUUUUAUUUUGAAUUGGGGUUUCUCUAUAUUGUCC